AAAGAUUUUAAAUUUCAAUUUGCACAAAACAAGUGUAAUUAGGGACGCAGCUAUCCUUCAUUCAGUCAUCAGCCUUUGGGCUAUUUUCUGUUGUUUGUUUGGGUUGUUGUCUUUUUGACACAUUCCCCAUUUCUAAAAAAAAAUCUUAAUAUAUAAAAAUGGUGUAGGGGUUCUAUUAUUGCCCUCACCCUUUGAAGAAAUUUCAUGUUUUAAUGCUCAAAAUGUUCACAAUUGAAUUCCAUCUUU
rnacentral:lncRNA from 1 species